rnacentral:rRNA from 1 species
CAGACUUUGAUCAUGGCUCAGGACGAACGCUGGCGGCGCGCCUAACACAUGCAAGUCGAACGAGAGAUGAGGAGCUUGCUCUUCAAAUCGAGUGGCGAACGGGUGAGUAACGCGUGAGGAACCUGCCUCAAAGAGGGGGACAACAGUUGGAAACGACUGCUAAUACCGCAUAAGCCCACGGCUCGGCAUCGAGCAGAGGGAAAAGGAGCAAUCCGCUUUGAGAUGGCCUCGCGUCCGAUUAGCUAGUUGGUGAGGUAACGGCCCACCAAGGCGACGAUCGGUAGCCGGACUGAGAGGUUGAACGGCCACAUUGGGACUGAGACACGGCCCAGACUCCUACGGGAGGCAGCAGUGGGGAAUAUUGCACAAUGGGGGAAACCCUGAUGCAGCGACGCCGCGUGGAGGAAGAAGGUCUUCGGAUUGUAAACUCCUGUUGUUGAGGAAGAUAACGACGGUACUCAACAAGGAAGUGACGGCUAACUACGCGCCAGCAGCCGCGGUAAAACGUAGGUCACAAGCGUUGUCCGGAAUUACUGGGUGUAAAGGGAGCGCAGGCGGGAGAACAAGUUGGAAGUGAAAUCCAUGGGCUCAACCCAUGAACUGCUUUCAAAACUGUUUUUCUUGAGUAGUGCAGAGGUAGGCGGAAUUCCCGGUGUAGCGGUGGAAUGCGUAGAUAUCGGGAGGAACACCAGUGGCGAAGGCGGCCUACUGGGCACCAACUGACGCUGAGGCUCGAAAGUGUGGGUAGCAAACAGGAUUAGAUACCCUGGUAUUCCACACCGUAAACGAUGAUUACUAGGUGUUGGAGGAUUGACCCCUUCAGUGCCGCAGUUAACACAAUAAGUAAUCCACCUGGGGAGUACGACCGCAAGGUUGCAAC